AACGAACGCUGGCGGCGUGCCUAACACAUGCAAGUCGAACGAGAAAGGUCGCAAGACCGAGUAAAGUGGCGGACGGGUGAGUAAUACAUGGACAACCUGCCUUCAAGUGACGGAUAACCCCGGGAAACCGGGGCUAAUACGACAUGACGAGCCGUGGGCCUUGGCCCGCGUCUUUAAAGCUGGCCUCUGUUUACAAGCCGGCGCUAGAAGAGGGGUCCAUGUCCCAUUAGCUAGUUGGUGAGGGAAUGGCUCACCAAGGCGACGAUGGGUAGCCGACCUGAGAGGGUGAUCGGCCACACUGGGACUGAGUCACGGCCCAGACUCCUACGGGAGGCAGCAGUAGGGAAUCUUCCGCAAUGGACGAAAGUCUGACGGAGCAACGCCGCGUGAGCGAAGAAGGCCUUCGGGUCGUAAAGCUCUGUUGUCAGGGAAGAACAAGUACCGGAGUAACUGCCGGUACCUUGACGGUACCUGACCAGAAAGCCACGGCUAACUACGUGCCAGCAGCCGCGGUAAUAC
rnacentral:rRNA from 1 species